rnacentral:rRNA from 1 species
CAGUAGCCGCGGGAAUACGUAGGGCGCAAGCGUUAUCCGGAAUUAUUGGGCGUAAAGAGCUCGUAGGCGGUUUGUCGCGUCUGCCGUGAAAGUCCGGGGCUCAACCCCGGAUCUGCGGUGGGUACGGGCAGACUAGAGUGAUGUAGGGGAGACUGGAAUUCCUGGUGUAGCGGUGAAAUGCGCAGAUAUCAGGAGGAACACCGAUGGCGAAGGCAGGUCUCUGGGCAUUAACUGACGCUGAGGAGCGAAAGCAUGGGGAGCGAACAGGAUUAGAGACCCCCGUAGUCCCUGUCUCUUAUAC